UACGAAGGGGGCUAGCGUUGUUCGGAUUAACUGGGCGUAAAGGGUGCGUAGGCGGGUUUUUAAGUCAGGGGUGAAAUCCCGAGGCUCAACCUCGGAACUGCCUUUGAUACUGGAAAUCUUGAGUCUGGGAGAGGUGAGUGGAACUGCGAGUGUAGAGGUGAAAUUCGUAGAUAUUCGCAAGAACACCGGUGGCGAAGGCGGUUCUCUGGCCUGUACUGACGCUGAGGAGCGAAAGCGUGGGGAGCGAACAGG
rnacentral:rRNA from 1 species